GACCCUAUAUUUUAUUUACUAAAAUAUUAGUCUUGUAAACUAACAAAGAAACCUUUCUAAGGUCA
rnacentral:tRNA from 1 species